CUGAAUAACUCUGCUGAUCGCAUGGUCCUAGUACCGGCGACAUAUCUUUCAAGUGUCUGCCCUAUCAACUUUCGAUGGUAGUUUAUAUGCCUACCAUGGUUGUAACGGGUAACGGAGAAUAAGGGUUCGACUCCGGAGAGGGAGCCUGAGAAAUGGCUUCCACAUCCAAGGAAGGCAGCAGGCGCGCAAAUUACCCACUCUCAGCUCGAGGAGGUAGUGACGAAAAAUAACGAGACGGUUCUCUUUGAGGCCCGUCAUCGGAAUGGGUACAAUUUAAACCCUUUAACGAGGAUCUAUUGGAGGGCAAGUCUGGUGCCAGCAGCCGCGGUAAUUCCAGCUCCAAUAGCAUAUACCAAUUCUGCUGCUGUUAAAAA
rnacentral:rRNA from 1 species